UCCGGUUGAUCCUGCCGGACUGUACUGCUAUCGGAUUGGUACUAAGCCAUGCGAGUCAUUGUAGCAAUACAAGGCGGACGGCUACAGAUAACACGUAGUCAACCUAACUCGUGGACGUGGAUAACCUCGGGAAACUGAGAAUACACCGCGAUAGACCAUAGUGCCUGGAAUGGCCUAUGAUCAAAAUAGUUUACUGCCAUGGGAUGGGACUGCGGCCUAUCAGCUUGUUGGUGAGGUAAUGGCCCACCAAUGCGAUUACAGGUACGGGCUCUGAGAGGAGAAGCCCGGAGAUGGGUACUGAGACACGGACCCAGGCCCUAUGGGGCGCAGCAGGCGAGAACACUUAGCCAUGUGCGACAGCACGACUGGGUCACGUCCGAGUGAUUCCUGAAUACACGGACGUCUUUUGCUUGUACCUAAAAGCACAGGGUUGACAUAAAAGGGUGGAGCAACGUCUUGGUGUCAGACGCCAAUGAAAAUACCAAGAACCUUCUAAGUGGGCCAAGGAACGUAGAUAUGGGGCCUACAGCAUUCCGUAACAGGAUCCUGAAAGUCUUCGGUAUACAUCAUCUGC
rnacentral:rRNA from 1 species